GCCAGUGUGGAAUAGUGGUGUGUGUGCUGGCUUAUGACUCUGAGACCAGGGUUCGAGUCCCAGCUCAGCCA